UACGUAGGGGGCAAGCGUUGUCCGGAUUUAUUGGGCGUAAAGAGCGUGUAGGCGGCCAGGUAGGUCCGUUGUGAAAACUCGAGGCUCAACCUCGAGCUGUCGAUGGAAACCAUCUGGCUAGAGUCCGGAAGAGGAGAGUGGAAUUCCCGGUGUAGCGGUGAAAUGCGCAGAUAUCGGGAAGAACACCCGUGGCGAAGGCGGCUCUCUGGGACGGUACUGACGCUGAGACGCGAAAGCCAGGGGAGCAAACGGG
rnacentral:rRNA from 1 species